AGUUGUUUUCUAUCUCCGUGUGGCUCACACUGAGAGUUGUCUCACCAAAAGAGAGGGAAUAUUUUUAUUUUUUCUUCUGUUCAUGUUAUCACCACUGCUCAUGCAGAAUAAAAACCUUGUUAAACUGGGAUUUUCUUCAAUCUGAACUCAACUGUAAAACAGAUUUAACCUCAGACUGAUUCUUCUUGUGGGACUAGUUUUAUUAGGAUCCUACUAGUUGUCUGGUGUGGAUAUAAUACCAGUCUGUCUCUGAGAUGGAGUCCAGAACUCUUCUACUUGUUCUGGACAUCGAUGAGUGCAAGGGGAGACUACGGGUUUGUCCCAGCAACGCCAGUUGCCUCAACACCAUUGGGAGCUUCUACUGCCAGUGUCAACCUGGGUUCAGAUUCUCUAAUCACACUGUGAAGGACUGAUGGAAAGUCCAAUAUCAAGUUAUCUGAUGAGUUUCCCAAUGAUUUUGUCACGUCUGCUCCUCCUCCCCCUCUCUGACGCUCGAGGUUGCCAGGCGACUCAUCAUUACUCACACCUCUCCCCAUCGUUACGCGCCCCAGCACUUCAUCGGACUCACCUGGACUCCAUCACGUCAUUGAUUAUCUAUCCUAUAUCUGUCACCCAUCCAGUUCAUUUUACACAUCUGCAUUGAUGUUGUUUUGUUUCUCCUGUCCAGAAGCUCUUACUGUUUUUCAUGUCUGUUAACCCAUUAAAUAUUCAUUCCCUGUACUUACUUCUCGUCUCCCAGCGUCUGGCAUCACAGAGCCAUUUCAGAUUGUGUACAUUUCUUUUUAAAGACUUGCU